rnacentral:misc_RNA from 1 species
GAAAAAACAAAGAGGAAAAUGCAAAUAUACGCGAAUUCUAUCAUCUAAACGAGAACUGUAUUUCCUCUAGUGUUUUUCCUUUCGUCUCAGGUACCCAAAUUGUCACAAACGCCACGGUGAAUGCACACAUAAGUGUAUAAAGAGUGAAGGUUCCUCCGCUGCUCCAAGCUAAUAGCAGCGGUGCAGUUGCUGUAAUUACCCAGGAAAAGAACCAAUUUGAUAACGUCGCUACACUUCCAGCAAGGCCUUUGAUCUUAACCGGUAGAAUCUCAGACAUUAUAAGCCACGGAAUAGGUCCCAUUCCAAGCGAAAAUGAAACAAUCAUCAAC